rnacentral:rRNA from 1 species
UACAGAGGGUGCGAGCGUUGUCCGGAAUCACUGGGCGUAAAGGGCGCGUAGGCGGUUGCUUAAGCGUGUGGUGAAAGCCCGGGGCUCAACCCCGGGUCGGCCAUGCGAACUGGGCGACUGGAGCCGAUCAGAGGCAGGCGGAAUUCCAGGUGUAGCGGUGGAAUGCGUAGAGAUCCGGAAGAACACCGGUGGCGAAGGCGGCCUGCUGGGAUCGAGCUGACGCUGAGGCGCGACAGCGUGGGGAGCAAACAGG